rnacentral:rRNA from 1 species
UACGUAGGGGGGCAAGCGUUUGUCCGGAUUUAUUGGGCGUAAAGCGCCGCGUAGGCGGCGCGGUAUGUCGUGCGUGAAAUCUCCCGGCUCAACUGGGAGGGGUCAUUCGAUACUGGCGGGCUCGAGGCCGGUAGGGGGAAGUGGAAUUCCCCGGUGUAGUGGUGGAAUGCGUAGAUAUCGGGAGGAACACCAGUGGCGAAGGCGGCUUCCUGGACCGGUUCUGACAC